AGAGUUUGAUCCUGGCUCAGAACGAACNCUGGCGGCGCGCCUAACACAUGCAAGUCGAACGAGAAGGCGUAGCAAUACGCUUGUAAAGUGGCAAACGGGUGAGUAAUGCAUGGGUAACCUACCCUCUGGUGGGGGAUAACUCCCCGAAAGGGGUGCUAAUACCGACGAUACGCACCGGCCUCGCAAGGGGCUGGUGGAAAGCCGAGCCGAGGGUUCGGCACCGGAGGAUGGGCUCAUGUCCUAUCAGCUUGUUGGCGGGGUAAUGGCCCACCAAGGCUACGACGGGUAGCUGGUCUGAGAGGACGACCAGCCACACUGGCACUGCGACACGGGCCAGACUCCUACGGGAGGCAGCAGUGAGGAAUAUUGCGCAAUGGACGACAGUCUGACGCAGCGACGCCGCGUGGGGGAUGAAGGCCUUCGGGUUGUAAACCCCUUUCGGGAGGGAAGAUGGGACGGGCAACCGUUCGGACGGUACCUCCAGAAGCAGCCACGGCUAACUCUGUGCCAGCAGCCGCGGUAAGACAGAGGUGGCAAGCGUUGUUCGGAUUUACUGGGCGUAAAGGGUGCGUAGGUGGUUAGGUAAGACCUGUGGGAAAGACCUGGGCUUAACCCAGGAAGGUCGCAGGUGACUGCCUAGCUAGAGGGCGGGAGAGGAGCGCGGAAUUCCCGGUGUAGCGGUGAAAUGCGUAGAGAUCGGGAGGAAGGCCGGUGGCGAANGCGGCGCUCUGGAACGUUCCUGACACUGAGGCACGAAAGCGUGGGGAGCAAACAGGAUUAGAUACCCUGGUAGUCCACGCCCUAAACUAUGGGUACUAAGUGUCGGCGGGUUACCGCCGGUGCCGCACCUAACGGAGUAAGUACCCCGCCUGGGGAGUACGGCCGCAAGGUUGAAACUCAAAUGAAUUGANGGG
rnacentral:rRNA from 1 species